rnacentral:rRNA from 1 species
GAUGAACGCUAGCGGCAGGCCUAAUACAUGCAAGUCGAACGGUGUAGCAAUACACAGUGGCGCACGGGUGCGUAACACGUAUGCAACCUACCUUACAUUGGGGGAUAGCCUUUCGAAAGGGAGAUUAAUACCGCAUAAGACAGUAACUAGGCAUCUAGUAGCUGUUAAAGAUUUAUCGAUGUAAGCUGGGCAUGCGUCCAAUUAGUUAGUUGGCGAGGUAAUGGCUCACCAAGACGAUGAUUGGUAGGGGAACUGAGAGGUCAAUCCCCCACACUGGAACGGGGAGACGGGCCAGACUCCUACGGGAGGCAGCAGUAGGGAAUAUUGGGCAAUGGGCGCAAGCCUGACCCAGCCAUGCCGCGUGCAGGAAGAAGGCGUUAUGCGUUGUAAACUGCUUUUAUACAGGAAGAAACGACCCUUGCGAGGGGCAUUGACGGUACUGUAUGAAUAAGCACCGGCUAACUCCGUGCCAGCCGCCGCCGUAAAAC